CAUUAAAAAACAGGCUCUGAUCCAGCUUUGCUGCCCGGAAAGAGAAUGUCUGUCGUAGACAACAAAGUUCUGGAUCUCGUCGACAAGGUAUUCUCAUUCUUCAAACAAAGCAUGACCACAGUUUUGAAUGGGCUGCUGCAUCCCUGCCGUUUCUUCUGGAAUGAACAGCCAUUACUGAUUCAAUCACAUCCAAGAACAAUCAAGGGAACAGAAUCCAUUUGAGGCUGGACAUUCUGCAGUCUCUUGAACACUUCACCUUGCUGGUUUUGGGUUUCACUCUGUAACCCUGCUGUCCUGCAACUGACUACAUAGACCAGGAUGGCCUUGAGCCCACUUAAACUUCGUUUCCUUCUGCAUCCCAAAUGCUGGAAUUAAAGAGAUAAAGAAGACACCUUUUCAUAUCAGUAACUGGAAGACAGUCAAGGAAACCUCUCUGAGAUCCUGCAUGGAACCCCCACAUACAGCUUCCUGUUCCACUGGAAUCAGAGGCAGUUGGGGGAAAGUCUCAAAUCAUCACAUGGAGAAACAACCUCUACUACUUUUAAUUUCUGGUGAAGUGAGUAACUUGAUGGUUGAAUAUGUGCUUCACACAUGCUCAACAAUACAGUAGAGUAAUAAAUAACCAUGAUGUAAGGAUUUCCAAGGAUCAGCUUCUGUACUGCAUAACUAUUAAUAAACCAAUAAAAUG
rnacentral:lncRNA from 1 species